rnacentral:rRNA from 1 species
GAUGAACGCUAGCGGCAGGCUUAAUACAUGCAAGUCGAGGGGCAACAGGGGUAGCAAUACCUGCUGGCGACCGGCAAACGGGUGCGGAACACGUACAGAACCUUCCUUUAAGCGGGGAUAGCCCGGAGAAAUCCGGAUUAAUACCCCAUAGUAAUAUUGACUGGCAUCGAGUUGGUAUUUAAAGAUUUAUCACUUAAAGAUGGCUGUGCGGCUGAUUAGGUAGUUGGUGCGGGUAACGGCCACCAAGCCAGCGAUCAGUAACUGGUGUGAGAGCAC